UAGAGUUUGAUCCUGGCUCAGAACUAACGCUGGCGGCGUGCCUAACACAUGCAAGUCGUACGAGAAAGUUGGCUUCGGCUGAUGAGUAAAGUGGCGCACGGGUGAGUAACGCGUGGAUAAUCUACCCCUCAGUUGGGAAUAACUCAUCGAAAGGUGGGCUAAUACCGAAUAAUACUGCAUGACUACUGUUGUGUAGUCAAAGAUGGCCUCUGCUUGCAAGCUAUCGCUGAAGGAUGAGUCCGCGUACCAUUAGCUAGUUGGUAGGGUAAUGGCCUACCAAGGCAACGAUGGUUAGCUGGUCUGAGAGGAUGAUCAGCCACACUGGAACUGAGACACGGUCCAGACUCCUACGGGAGGCAGCAGUGAGGAAUAUUGCGCAAUGGGGGCAACCCUGACGCAGCAACGCCGCGUGAGUGAGGAAGGUUUUCGGACCGUAAAGCUCUGUCGAGCGGGAAGAAGUGCGUAAUGGCUAAUAUCCAUUAUGCUUGACGGUACCGCUAAAGGAAGCACCGGCUAACUCCGUGCCAGCAGCCGCGGUAAUACGGGGGGUGCGAGCGUUGUUCGGAAUCAUUGGGCGUAAAGAGCGUGUAGGCGGCUGGAUAAGUCAGAUGUGAAAGCCCUGGGCUUAACCUAGGAAGCGCAUUUGAAACUGUUCAGCUUGAGUAAGGGAGAGGAAAGUGGAAUUCCUGGUGUAGAGGUGAAAUUCGUAGAUAUCAGGAGGAACACCGGUGGCGAAGGCGACUUUCUGGCCCUAUACUGACGCUGAGACGCGAGAGCGUGGGUAGCAAACAGGAUUAGAUACCCUGGUAGUCCACGCUGUAAACGAUG
rnacentral:rRNA from 1 species